rnacentral:rRNA from 1 species
UACGGAGGGUGCAAGCGUUAUCCGGAUUCACUGGGUUUAAAGGGUGCGUAGGCGGGUAUAUAAGUCAGUGGUGAAAGCUCCGGGCUUAACUUGGAAACUGCCAUUGAUACUGUAUAUCUUGAAUGUCGUAGAGGUUAGCGGAAUGUUGCAUGUAGCGGUAAAAUGCUUAGAUAUGUUACAGAACACCAAUUGCGAAGGCAGCUAACUAUGCGAUGAUUGACGCUGAGGCACGAAAGCGUGGGGAGCAAACAGG